rnacentral:lncRNA from 1 species
UUUGAUUAUUUGUUGCUCCAACUCCAUCGAGGCUGGGGGCUGUGAUUGCUAUUUAGCCUCCUACUUACCUUUGGUACUUGAUUUCUCUGAGAUCAAAGACUUCGGUAUCGGUGCCACUUCCUCGAUUGCAAACAUCUAUUUGUAGCAUAUUGCUCUACAUAGGCUGUUUUCACCCCUUCCUCCGUUGGGAACUUCAUCACUUGGUGAAGAGUUGAAGGCAC